GACGAACGCUGGCGGCGUGCUUAACACAUGCAAGUCGAGCGAUGAAGUUCCUUCGGGAAUGGAUUAGCGGCGGACGGGUGAGUAACACGUGGGUAACCUGCCUCAUAGAGGGGAAUAGCCUUCCGAAAGGAAGAUUAAUACCGCAUAAGAUUGUAGUGCCGCAUGGCAUAGCAAUUAAAGGAGUAAUCCGGUAUGAGAUGGACCCGCGUCGCAUUAGCUAGUUGGUGAGGUAACGGCUCACCAAGGCGACGAUGCGUAGCCGACCUGAGAGGGUGAUCGGCCACAUUGGGACUGAGACACGGCCCAGACUCCUACGGGAGGCAGCAGUGGGGAAUAUCGCACAAUGGGGGAAACCCUGAUGCAGCAACGCCGCGUGAGUGAUGAAGGCCUUCGGGUUGUAAAGCUCUGUCUUCAGGGACGAUAAUGACGGUACCUGAGGAGGAAGCCACGGCUAACUACGUGCCAGCAGCCGCCGUAA
rnacentral:rRNA from 1 species